rnacentral:rRNA from 1 species
UGGCCCUGACAUGUCCGGAAUCCUGCCGAGAUGCGGGAGUGCCUUCGGGAAUUGGAACAC